rnacentral:rRNA from 1 species
AGCGAACGCUGGCGGCAGGCUUAACACAUGCAAGUCGAGCGGGCAUCUUCGGGUGUCAGCGGCGGACGGGUGAGUAACGCGUGGGAACGUGCCUUCUGGUUCGGAAUAACUCAGGGAAACUUGAGCUAAUACCGUAUACGCCCUUCUUGGGGAAAGGUUUACUGCCGGAAGAUCGGCCCGCGUCUGAUUAGCUAGUUGGUGGGGUAACGGCCUACCAAGGCGACGAUCGGUAGCUGGUCUGAGAGGAUGAUCAGCCACACUGGGACUGAGACACGGCCCAGACUCCUACGGGAGGCAGCAGUGGGGAAUAUUGGACAAUGGGCGCAAGCCUGAUCCAGCCAUGCCGCGUGAGUGAUGAAGGCCUUAGGGUUGUAAAGCUCUUUUAUCCGGGACGAUAAUGACGGUACCGGAGGAAUAAGCCCCGGCUAACUUCGUGCCAGCCGCCGCCGUAA